CCAAAAUUAGAUAAGAUUUAUGAAGCUAAGAAGUGCAUUCUACCAGGAACUGGAUAUAGAUAUUUCCUGAGAGACACAGUUAGAGAAUGUCUAAUACAGAAGUGAAUGUUAGUGGCAAACCAGUGAACUGAAAACGGACAUCUUGUUGGUAGAUUUUGAGACAGUAUUACAAUUGUUGAAGGUGCUGUUAACUACAAAAGAACAACAUUCUCAAUGACCCAGAGCUUUCUGGUACUAGACCAAUAUUCAAAGAAUGAACAUAGACAGAAAUAUGGCUCCAAAUGCAUAUGUGGCAGAGGAUUGCUUUUUUGGCACCAAUGGAAGGAGAAGCCCUUGGUUCUACCUUGGUUUGUCUCCCAGUUUAAGGGAAUGUCAAUGGGCAGAAUUAUGGUUAGAGAAGAAGGGAUUGUGAACAGGUUGUGAUUUAAUGGGCAGGAAACUGAGAAAGGAAAUAAUAUUUUAAACGUAAAUAUAGCCUCAUCCAGUUUAAAAAUCACUUAAAUUGAUAAAAAAUUAAAAAAAGAAAGAAAUAAAAGUAAAGAAAACUUCCAACUAAUCACAGUUAUUUACUCAGAAAUCUAAAUUGGUAUUCAGAGUAAUACUUGUAGCAAGACAAAGAUGAUGAAGUCUCAACUAGAAGCACUUCUUUCUCCGAGAUAUCCGUGUCAGACACAAAAUGCACUAUAGGUAUCCAAAGCUUGGAGGAGUUUACUCUGACCUGAGGACCCAAUACUUGUCUUUACCUCCUUCCUUAGGACCUUUUUCUUCUGGGCAAAAAGAAAAAAAGGCCAUAGAUCUCAGAAAAACAACUGUGCCCUCUCAAAAUUUUGCUUUGUAAUUAGGAAAUGAAUGAUAUAAAACCUUUGACAUCCAGGUACCAUAAGAACAGGGAAGUCCAGAUGCUUCUGUGAAGCUUCCAGCUCUUGAUUCCCAUAUGUGUAAGUCUCAGAUCAAGUCUAUCUCUUCAGCGAUACCACUCCAACCCUUCCAAGGGCUCCCUGAACUUUUCAAAGUACCACUUAUUUUUCCUUUUUUUUUUCAUACAAAGACAGAAGGUCAGCUUCUUUCUCCCCAUCUCUGAUCUCUUUAUCCUUUUUGUUCUCACUCCCAAAUGGCUGUUUACUCUGAAUUAGUGGCCAAUUAGCAAACCGGAGAGUUACUGAGGGAAUAUGUGAGAGGCAGUUCCUGUCAGGACAGUAAUUGUUACAUCACAGAAGAAGCUAGGGCUCUCCUAGUUACAACAAAUUUGUCAUGGAGGUCCUAUUUAUGAUGUCACUGAGAACGGCCAUCUCCUACAUGCUAAACAGCUUUCCUUACAUUUACCAGAUUCGAAGGUGUCCUUUCCAGAGCAAAAAGAGUAAAAGCCACGAGCUCUGAGAAGAACAAAUGUGCCCUUCCCAACAACUGGCUUUUGUAUUGAAGAAAUUGAUUACAUAAACGCUCUGACUUCCAGGAACCAUAUCAAGCAGGGAAGUCCAGAUGAUUCUAAGAAGAUCGCAGCACCUGAUUCCCAUGUGUGGAAGGCUCAGAUAAAGGCUACUACUUCUGCAAUCCCACUCAAUACGUACCCAAGACUCACUGAACUUUCCCAUGGACCAGAUUUGAGGGUGCCCUUUCCAAGAGUGUCUCCUGUGACAUACUGGAAACCUUUACAUAUUAUAUAUCUUUAAAGCUA